CAGUAGCCGCGGUAAUACGGAGGGUGCAAGCGUUAAUCGGAAUUACUGGGCGUAAAGCGCACGCAGGCGGUUUGUUAAGUCAGAUGUGAAAUCCCCGGGCUCAACCUGGGAACUGCAUUUGAAACUGGCAAGCUAGAGUCUUGUAGAGGGGGGUGGAAUUCCAGGUGUAGCGGUGAAAUGCGUAGAGAUCUGGAGGAAUACCGGUGGCGAAGGCGGCCCCCUGGACAAAGACUGACGCUCAGGUGCGAAAGCGUGGGGAGCAAACAGGAUUAGAUACCCCUGUAGUCCCUGUCUCUUAUAC
rnacentral:rRNA from 1 species